UACAGAGGUCUCAAGCGUUGUUCGGAUUCAUUGGGCGUAAAGGGUGCGUAGGUGGCGCCGUAAGUCAGGUGUGAAAGUCGGGGGCUCAACCCUCGAAUGCCGGUGGAUACUGUCUGGCUAGAGUCCGGAAGGGGCGAGUGGAAUUCCUGGUGUAGCGGUGAAAUGCGCAGAUAUCAGGAGGAACACCAAUGGCGAAGGCAGCUCGCUGGGACGGUACUGACGCUGAGACGCGAAAGCGUGGGGAGCAAACAGG
rnacentral:rRNA from 1 species